GAUGAACGCUGGCGGCGUGCCUAAUACAUGCAAGUCGAGCGAACAGAUAAGGAGCUUGCUCCUUUGAAGUUAGCGGCGGACGGGUGAGUAACACGUGGGUAACCUACCUAUAAGACUGGGAUAACUUCGGGAAACCGGAGCUAAUACCGGAUAACAUUUAGAACCGCAUGGUUCUAAAGUGAAAGAUGGUUUUGCUAUCACUUAUAGAUGGACCCGCGCCGUAUUAGCUAGUUGGUAAGGUAACGGCUUACCAAGGCGACGAUACGUAGCCGACCUGAGAGGGUGAUCGGCCACACUGGAACUGAGACACGGUCCAGACUCCUACGGGAGGCAGCAGUAGGGAAUCUUCCGCAAUGGGCGAAAGCCUGACGGAGCAACGCCGCGUGAGUGAUGAAGGGUUUCGGCUCGUAAAACUCUGUUAUUAGGGAAGAACAAAUGUGUAAGUAACUGUGCACAUCUUGACGGUACCUAAUCAGAAAGCACGGCUAACUACGUGCCAGCAGCCGCGGGUAUACGUAAGGUGCAAGCGGUAUCGGGAAUUAUUGGGCGUAAAGCGCGCGUAAGCGGUUUCUUAAGUCUGAUGUGAAAGCCCACGGCUCAACCGUGGAGGGUCAUUGGAAACUGGGAAACUUGAGUGCAGAAGAGGAAAGUGGAAUUCCAUGUGUAGCGGUGAAAUGCGCAGAGAUAUGGAGGAACACCAGUGGCGAAGGCGACUUUCUGGUCUGUAACUGACGCUGAUGUGCGAAAGCGUGGGGAUCAAACAGGAUUAGAUACCCUGGUAGUCCACGCCGUAAACGAUGAGUGCUAAGUGUUAGGGGGUUUCCGCCCCUUAGUGCUGCAGCUAACGCAUUAAGCACUCCGCCUGGGGAGUACGACCGCAAGGUUGAAACUCAAAGGAAUUGACGGGGACCCGCACAAGCGGUGGAGCAUGUGGUUUAAUUCGAAGCAACGCGAAGAACCUUACCAAAUCUUGACAUCCUUUGAAAACUCUAGAGAUAGAGCCUUCCCCUUCGGGGGACAAAGUGACAGGUGGUGCAUGGUUGUCGUCAGCUCGUGUCGUGAGAUGUUGGGUUAAGUCCCGCAACGAGCGCAACCCUUAAGCUUAGUUGCCAUCAUUAAGUUGGGCACUCUAGGUUGACUGCCGGUGACAAACCGGAGGAAGGUGGGGAUGACGUCAAAUCAUCAUGCCCCUUAUGAUUUGGGCUACACACGUGCUACAAUGGACAAUACAAAGGGCAGCUAAACCGCGAGGUCAUGCAAAUCCCAUAAAGUUGUUCUCAGUUCGGAUUGUAGUCUGCAACUCGACUACAUGAAGCUGGAAUCGCUAGUAAUCGUAGAUCAGCAUGCUACGGUGAAUACGUUCCCGGGUCU
rnacentral:rRNA from 1 species